rnacentral:rRNA from 1 species
AGUGGCGAACGGGUGAGUAAUACAUAAGCAACCUGCCCAUCAGACUGGGAUAACAGUUGGAAACGACUGCUAAUACCGGAUAGGUAAAUUGAAGGCAUCUUUGAUUUAUUAAAGUUUAGAGACACUGAUGGAUGGGCUUAUGGCGCAUUAGCUAGUUGGUGAGGUAACGGCCCACCAAGGCGAUGAUGCGUAGCCGACCUGAGAGGGUGACCGGCCACAUUGGGACUGAGACACGGCCCAAACUCCUACGGGAGGCAGCAGUAAGGAAUUUUCGGCAAUGGGCGCAAGCCUGACCGAGCAACGCCGCGUGAGUGAAGAAGGCCCUAUGGGUUGUAAAGCUCUGUUGUAAAGGAAGAACACUAUUGAAGAAUCAGUAGCUGACGGUACUUUACCAGAAAGCCACGGCUAACUACGUGCCAGCAGCCGCGGUAAUACGUAGGUGGCAAGCGUUAUCCAGAAUUAUUGGGCGUAAAGGGUGCGCAGUCGGCUGAUUAAGUUUGUGGUGAAAGUGCGGGGCUUAACUCCGUAUGGCCAUGAAAACUGGUUAGCUAGAGUGCAGAAGAGGGUAGGUGAAAUUCCAUGUGUAGCGGUAAAAUGCGUAGAUAUAUGGAGGAACACCAGUGGCGAAGGCGGCUACCUGGUCUGUAACUGACGAUGAGGCACGAAAGCGUGGGGAGCAAAUAGGAUUAGAUACCCUAGUAGUCCACGCUGUAAACGAUGAAUACUAAGUGUUGGGGAAACUCAGUGCUGCAGUUAACGCAAUAA